rnacentral:lncRNA from 10 species
UUUUUUUUUAGUAGAGACGGUGUUUCUCCAUGUCGGUCAGGCUGGUCUCAAACUCCCGACCUCAGGUGAUCCACUCACCUCAGCCUCCCAAAGUGCUGAGAUUAUAGCCGUGAGCCACCGCGCCUGGCCCGGGGCCAUUUUCUAAGUAGACGAUGGCCAACUUCUCACUAUGUCCUCAUAUGGCAGGAAAUGAACUAGAUAGCUCUUAGAUAGCUCUCUGGCCUCUUUUUUUUUUCUUUUUUUUUUUUUUGAGACGGAAUCUCACUCUGUCACCCAAGCUGGAGUGCAGUGGUGCGAUCUCAGCUCACUGCAACCUCUGCCUCCUGGGUUCAAAUGAUUCUCCUGCCUCAGCUUCCUGAGUAGCUGGGACUACAGGCGCGUUUCCACCAUGCCCAGCUAAUUUUUUGUAUUUUUAGUAGAGACAGGGUUUCACCUCGUUAGCCAGGAUGGUCUCAAUCUCCUGACCUCAUGAUCCACCCGCCUCAGCCUCCCAAAGUGCUGGAAUUCAGGUGUGAGCCACAGCACCUCACCUGUGGCCUUUUCUUAUAAGGGCACCAAUUCCAUUUAUGAGGACUCCACCCUUGUGAUCUAAUUACCUCCCAAAGACCUCAACUCCAUACACCAUCACUUUUGGAUUAGGGUUUCAACAUAUUAAUUUGGGAGGGGUGAGGGCACAAACUUUCAGUUCAUUUGCAUCAAACAUAUGUCUUAGAAUCUAUGAUAUAAAGGCUAAAUUAGUGAUGGAUAGAGCUCUAUCUCUUCAUUCCUAGUUCUAAGCUCUCUUUAUAAUAUCACAUCUUAACCAUUCAAUACACUUUUUAUUCUCAAAGAUAACUUCAUAUUAAAAAAUUGUUCUUUUAAGAUUUUUCUAUUGAAAUGAAAAUGCUCAUUAACUUCAAAUCCUGAUGAGUUUAUAUCUAAAGAUUUGUUUUUUCUUCAAAUGAUUUCUGGACAAAAAACGAUUUUGAAUAUGAAACACGAUAGGCACUUAGUUACAAAAAUGCCAUGAAAGGUGUAUUGAAUCUGCAGGGCAGGUGGUAAGAAACAGGGAAAUGGUAAUUGGGAAACUGCAAGGAAAAUAGUCUGCCAACUUAAUUUUUGACCCAGUUGCUCUUGGUUACUCUAACUUGUUUACUGUAGGUCCUGGAGGUGGGGAGAAAAUUUUCUUACUAAAAAUUAUUCGAUCGCCUAGAGAAAGUAAGUGGUCCUGACAUCAGACUCCGUUCUUUUCUAGUCAUUAUUAUGUGCCAGCUAUUUUCUUAACUACAGUCCAAAAAAUGUAUCUACAACUUUAUGGAUGCACAAAGAAGCAUGUACAGCUGCAAUAAUUAUAGUAGAUCACAGACGACACAAAAAUGUUGUUGAAAAUAUAACUAGAAAAACCAAAGGAAUGUAACAAUUAUUUGAGAGGAAAGAAUUCUGUGUAUAUACCAAAAUCAAAUUGUAAUUAUUGACUCUAAAAUCUACUUUUAUGAAAAAUCUAAAAGUGUCAGGCAUAGCACUAGACACUAGAAAAUAUAAUCAAAUGUGAGUAAGGCACAGUCAUUGCCUGAGAAGCUCACUUUAUUUAGUAGGAAGGCAGACAUGUGGACAAAGCCAGAAGGUAACACGCAAUUGCAAGAAUAGACAUUGCUUAAAAGUGCCUUUAGGACGGGAGAGGGAGCAAAUAAUUCUACAUGCCUAGGGACUGGGGCGGAAAUUCAUAAAUUUGAGGAAGACUACAGUCAGGAGGCUACAAUCCAGAUGAAUCUUGGGUGUCUAAGCAUUGGUCAAAUGGGCAAGAUAGAACGUGCCAGUCUGAUUUUGAGUUUAAGGCUUGCAAAUGAAAAUGUGGAAAAGGCACAGCAUCUGUCUUGUGAUGCAUACUGGACAAUGUUUCUGCAGUUUAUACUCUCACUAUUUGUGGUACACCUUCCUCCUCCCAGAAAAUAUUAACAUGCUUUGGAAAAACUCUCUGCAAUAUAUUUACUAAGUGUCCAUAGGAUAAAUAUUUUUCUGUAUUUCAUCUGGAGUCAUUGGACAUCUUGUAACACAAGACUACGAGGACUUUCAAAUAUCUACUGCUAUCACAUGGCUCCACUUGCUUGGCGUCUUAGUUUCUUAGUUUCUGAUAUAAACCACUAACUCUAUCUGCACCUGAAAUGGUCAAGGACACACUGUUGACACAAUGGUGUCUAGAAGCCAAAUAGACAGCUUCAGGCCAGAGAGCUGCUGUGGAAAACUGUCUACAUUCACCUAAAUUAGAACUGACAACUCAGCCCCAGAUUUAUAAGGCAAAAUUCUUCAGCAUGGAACACUGGAACCUAGCUAGAGAAGGAAACAGAGCAAACUGAGUUUUUCUGUUUGUUUUGCUUUGGGGCACCUCCUUUGUUGUCCUUUGUAUAAAUGUCUCUUUAUUUUAAAGGAAAAUAUUUCUGAUGUUAAAUGAUUAAUCAAAAGUAGUUACUCCAUUUUAAUGUCCAAAGGGACUUGACUGUAGCACAUGGUUAGUGUAUGUGCCACAGAAAUAGGACGGCACAAAGACUUCUGAAGUAUGUUACCCUCUCACUGACUUGGUGUACAGCUUUUACUACAUAGAAUUUGUGUUGUGGAAAAAGUUGAGUAUUAUCAAUAUGUAGGAUGCAUUAAUAAAUUCUUAUCUCUUAGUUUAUGCUAAUAUUUGGCUAUUUUACCAAUGGUACUAUGACUUUUGACAGAUCUGGAACCAGUUCCCCCAAAGCAGGGUGCCUGCAUCCACAGGAUUUGUGGGAAUCCUUUAACUCAAGCUUGUCGAACCCAUGGCCUGCAGGCUGCGUGCAGCCCAGGACGGCUUUGAAUGCAACCCAACACAAAUUCGCAAACUUCCUUAAAACAUUAUGAGAUAUUUUUACCAUUUUUAUUUUUUUAGCUCAUCAGCUAUCGUUAGUGUUAGUGUAGUUGAUGUGUGGCCCAAGACAAUUCUCCUUCUUCCAAUGUGGCCCAGAGAAACCAAAAAUUGGACACCCCUGCCUUAGCUACAGAUAAUAAAAUAAUCAUAACAAUACAACUUUUAUUUUUAUUCAUUUUAUGUAUAAAUUGUGAGGGGAAAAAGCCAGGUGUGGUAGCCUGCCUGUAGUCCCAGUUAUUUGUGAUGCUGAAGUGGGAGGAUCACUACUUGAGCCUAGGAUUUCAAGAACUGCCUGGACAACAUAGAGAGACCCUAUCUCCAAAAAAAAAAAAAAAAAAAAAUUAAGCUUUGUUGACCUUUAAUAUAGGGAUGGAUACCACUUGCCCUUUUGGUUCCUACGUGACAUGUAGAAUCUGCCACAUCCUGAGGGAAGAGGUGAAGAGUUCUACGAUGCGACUGUAGACAGCACAUUUCUCAGGCCUUCAUUUGUCAGCUGCAAUAUAUUUCAGUUUACAUGCUACGGGAUGUUAUCAAUGUGAUUAAUUUUAUAAAAACAAAUAUUUUUAGUAACCUAACAUUUUUUUUUAAAGAUGAUACCUUCAUAGUGUAUAAAAUCCAAACCACUUCAGAGCAUAAAGUAUGAAGUCAUCCUCCCAUUCUGGUUGCCCAUCUCAAUCCACCUCCUGGAGAUGAUCAGCAGUACUAGUUUCUUAUGGUUCUUCUAGAGAUACACUAUGCGUACACUACAAGCUGGCAUUUCUCCAUAUUUGCCUUCCAACCCACUCUCUUUUUAUUUUAUUUUAUUUUAUUUUAUUUGGAGGCGGGGUCUCACUCUGUCAUCCAGGCUGGAGUGCAGUGCGCAAUUAUAACUCACUGCCACCUUAAACUCCUGGGCUUAAGCAAUCCUCCUACUUCAGCCUCCCAAGUAGCUGGGACUAAAAGCAUGCACAACCACACCUGGCUAAUUUCUUUCUUUUUUUUUUUUUUUUUGUAAGAUGGGGUCUCACUGUGUUGCCCAGGCUGGUCUUGAACUCCUGGGCUCUAGUAAUCUGCCUACCUUGGCCUCCCAAAAUGCUAAGAUUACAGGUAUAAGCCACCUUGCCCGGCCUACCCUUCUCUUUUAUAAUAAAAAUAGUUGCAUCCCAAAACAUUUUACAUCUUAAUUUUUUUAUUUGCUAUGUUAUGGAGUUAGUUCCAUAUCAAUUUGUAAAGACUUUUUGUGCUCUUCUUAAUGGCUGUAUAAUAUUUUUAUUGUAAACUAACAACUUAUAAUUAUGUAAAUUUAUGGUAGUACAAAGUAAUGUUAUGACUUAUGAACAUUAUAUGAAAUAAUUAAAUCAAGCUAGUUAAAAUAUCCAUCACCUCAAAUACUUAACAAUGUUUUUGGCUAGAAUAUUUGAAAUUUACUCUUAGUAAUUUUGACAUGUACAAUACUCUAUUAUUAACUAUAUUCACCAUGCUGUGUAAUAACAAGUGACGAUGAGCAUUUGGAGAAAAGGGAAUGUUUGUGCACUGUUGGCAGAAAUGUAAAUUUGUACAGCCAUUACGGAAAACUGUAUGGAGGUUCCUUAGAAAACUAAAAAUAGAAUUACCAUAUGAUCCAGCAAUCCCACUUCUGGGUAUUUACCCAAAAGAUUUGAAAUAUUCCUUUUUAUAGAUAUGCCAUGAUUGAUUUAGCAGUCCCCAAGUAAUACAUAUUUAUGUUGUUUCCAGUCUUUUGCUAGCGCACAUAGCAUUGCAUUGGAUAGCCAUGUUUUAUGUGCCGUUUACACACAUGCUUGUAUGGCUGUUGGAUACAUUCUUAAGAGGUCGAAUAUCUGGAUCAAAAAGUGUGUGCAUUUAUAAUUUUGAAAGAUACUGCCAAAUUAUCUUCAUAAAUGUUGUACCAAUUUACACUCCCACCAGCAAUGUAUGAGAGUGUCUUUUUCCCCACAGCCUUGCCAACAAUAAAUACCUUUGCAUAAUUGGAGCUUGGGAUUGAAAAAUGAGCAUCAUAAUUUAGUAAGAUGAGCCAAGAAUGAACUUCUUCCAUUUGGAUCUAUGUUUCUUUGUGAGGUGCCUCUUUCCCAGCAGUGACAUCCCCUUAAAACUCUGCUAAAAUAAAGGCUUAAAAACCAGAUCUUCAAAUCAUUAUGUUACAGAGAAUUAACAAAAUUUCUUUCAAAACUAAUGAAGCAUAUUUAACCACAGUUCCUAUUAUAUUUUUAUAGCAUCAGUAAAUAAAAUAAAACUAUUUUAAUAUUGUUGAUCUUAUCUCUUAUCCCUUUUAAAUUUCUAUUUUAUGUAGGUUUUAUAUGUCCAUACUAUAUAUAUAUAUAUAUACACACACAUACAUAUGUGUAUGUUUUAUAGUAAACAUACUCUUAGUAUAUUAGAGUAUUAUACAAAUUUCAGGUAAAAACUUUUAUGUAACUUUUAUGUAGUUUAUAUGUUUUAUAGUAAACAUACUCUUAGUAUAUUAGAGUAUUAUAUAAAUUUCAGGCAAAAACUUUUAUGUAAGGGGGUUGUCCAAUACUUUUUUGCUGAUGAGGUCUGGGACAAAAACUUUUUUGGUAUGUAUAUAUAAUUCAUAUAAUCUAAAUGACUUAUAAAAUAAAGAAUGUUUAAAAUUAACAAGUAUUUAAAACGUGUAACUCUUUCCUCCAACUCUCUUUUCCGGGCGAUAUGAUUCUGGCUGGAAACUGAGAAAAAAGCUCAGUUAUUAUUAUUCAUGAUCAGUAAGGACCAACCCAGAUUGGGCAUCACAUAUCAACAGAGUUCCAAAAGAAAAAUAUUUUUUUCCUCUCCUCAGGGAGGAUUAUAAUGAAAAGUCUACAGUCUUUACUUUUCCCUAAGCGGGCAAGUUGAGCAAGAGAAUGACUGGCCCUUUACAUUUGAAUGAUGCCACUGGCGGAGGCAGAUGGGGCGGUUGGUGGCCUUCCUGCAUAAAGACCACGCAUUGCUCCCAAGGCAUUUCUCUGUGAAGUCUCCUGACAGCUGCUCCUGGAAGCUGCUACUCUGGCCAGGGCAUCCUUCCCCAGCAGCCAUGAAUGCUUCCCCUCUUGGCAGCAGCUCCUGACCACACCUCCUAAGGCAACCAGUCUUUCUUCUAGUUUAUGGAUUCCUCAGUCCCUGGACCAUUCAGUGCAACCUCUGAGGAGCAUCUUAGCUGCACACUAAACACAGCUCUUUAAGAUCAAAGUAAUUUAAAAACAUUUUUCCUGAUUUUUAAACUUGGAAAACAUAGAAAAUGAUAAAGAAAAAAUUAAAAUUAGCCAUAAGAAAAAAAUAAUCAUGUUAUAAUUCAGAGAUAAUUGCUAUUAAUAUUUUACCAUGAUUCCUUUCAGUCUUUUCUCAGUAUACAAUAUAAUAUUUUGCAUAAUGGGAUUACAUAGUAUAUACAGUUUUGCAUUUUAAUUUUUGCUUUCAGUGGAAUGCCAUGAAUAUCCCCCAUGUCAUUGAAAGCACUCCCCAAAUACCUUUUUGAUGACUAUUUAAUAGAUCACUGUAUGGCUGAAUCUCGUUUAACUAAAUCACCACUGUUGAAUGCUUGGCUUAUUUCUAAUGUUCUAUUCUAAUUUUAAUUAACACCUUGAUACAAUGAAUUUUUGCCCAAAUUUCAGGUUAAUCCCUUAAUUCCUGAAUGUCGCGGUACUGUAUUGACAGUUCUUAAUCCCUGGUCAUGCAACAUUGCAGCCAGGGGCUCUGUCUUAGCAACGCAUGCUUAGUUGCUCUUUUUCACUGCUGAUUUAAGAGAAAAAAUGGUAACUUGAUACUGAUAUAAUUUGUAUUCAUUAAUCACUAUAUUGAAUAAUUUUUCUAUAUUUUUCUUCAAUAAUUUUUGUAUGAUAAAAGUAGUUUAAGGUCAUCAGGAAAAUGUCAAAAUAGAAGUGUAUAAAUAAAAAUCAUUUGUAAUUGCAUAACUGAGAGAUGUCUUACUCAUUAAUAAUAUUUUACUUUUUAUGGUUUAAAUCUUAUUCCAAUGAGAAUUUAUAUGUAUUUUACAUAAGUGAAUCAUACAGUAUAUAUAAUUUAGAAGUCUGCUUUUUAUUUAAAGCAUUAUUCUUAUUCUUAAAAAAUUGAAAAUAUAACUUUCCAAUACAACUAUUUGAAAAUAGUUACAUUAUUUCCUAUGCAUUGAAUGUACAAUAAUUUAUUUAUAUCUCACCAUCUUAUUAAACAACUAGUUAUAAUUUUUGUUAUCAUAAAUAUCAUAUUGUAUUGUUUUUUAAUUAGCAGUUAUUUUAUUACAAAUAAACUUGAAUUUCAAAAUGCUUCCACUGUACUUUUGCACUAUAGAUUACCAGUUUAUAUCCUAUCUCUCAUUUUCUAACUGAAAUUAAUGUUUCUUAUUUAUAACAGCUUUUUUAGAUUUUAAAGAUAUUAAUCCCUUAUCAGUCAUAUUUAUUACAUAUACUUUUCACAUUUGAGUUGUUUGACUUUAAUUUUCAUUUAUUCUACAUCCAAAACUUUUAAAGUUUUAUUUGGUCACAUUUAUCCAUGCUAUCCUUUGAAACUCUGUUUAUUGUCUGUAUGCAUUUUUAAAAAGUGUUUUGUUUUCUAAUCCAGUUAAAUAUUCAACUAUGUGUUCUUCUAUUUUUUGUUUCAUUUUGUUUUUUAGUGCUUUUAUGUCUACAUUGAACUAUUUAAUUUAGGCAGAAAUUGUUUUAGCGCACGGUGUAGGAAGAUGGGCUAACUUUUUUCCAAAUAACCUACUUCCCAGGUUUCCCUUUUAAAUUUGAGACUGUUUCUUUCAUACAGAGAAGUCAUUAUAUGUGAUGAAACUAAUACGUGGUGAAAAUCCCAUAUAUACGGGAUUUUCCAGGGUAAUUUUAACUAUACACGGCUUUCACCAUAUAUAGUGAAAAAAAACUCUUAUAUAGCACCCUGAAUAUGCAAUAUAUAGUCUCUCUAUAAAUUCAACACAGCCAUCAUCUUCUCCAGUGUUGGAACAAUGGAUAUUUUUUAACGUACAGCACGAUGUGAACAAGUUAGCAUGGGUUAGUGUUUUUUGUUUUUGUUUUUGUUUUCUGUUUGUUUGUUUCAUUUUUUGAUUUUUGUUUUUUGUUUUUUUGAAAUGAUGUCUAGCUCUGUCGCCCAGGCUGGAGUGCAGUGGCCCGAUCUCAGCUCACUGCAAGCUCCGCCUCCCGGGUUCAUGCCAUUCUCCUGCCUCAGCCUCUUGAGUAGCUGGGACCACAGGCGCCCGCCACCACUCCUGGCUAAUUUUUUGUAUUUUUAGUAGAGACGGGGGUUUCACCGUGUUAGCCAGGAUGGUCUCGAUCUCCUGACCUCGUGAUCCGCCCACCUCGGCCUCCGGAAGUACUGGGAUUACAGGCAUGAGCCACCGGGCCCUACCGGGUUAGUGUUUUUUGAGCUCUAGAAUAAUAUCUAACAUAAAAGAGUUCCACACUAUGGGAAGCUCAAGGGAGCUGAUAUUGAAGAAACAUGAGGUUUCUAUGUCUCUUUCACAGUUGUUCACUCUGGGGCAUGUGGUCAAAGAAUGCAAUGGAGGACACUGCAGAUUCACCAGUUCUGCUUAGGUCCUAUGUGCUCUCCAGCUCAGUCUAAGUGUUUCUCUGUUUCUCUUGUUCCUUUAACAUAAGUUGAAGAUGUGUAUGAUGUGACACUACUGUAUCUUCUCAGAAACCUGUUGAGACCCUCUAGCUGUGAGGCGAGCUGACACUUCACAGUAUCACACUUCCCUGCGUUCUUGUGCUGUUCCUGAGCUGGAUCGCAGGCUCUCAGGCCUCAAAAGUAAGUCCUGGUGGUCUCUAAAAGUAUUCUCCAAGCCAUGGAGUUCCAUCCUAAAAUGCGUCACUUCCCUGAGUGUCAUAUUAAAUAUCUACAGAAGCACUGUUCAACGGAAAUAGGAUUCAAGCCACAUAUUAAUUUUGAAUUUUCUAGUACCUGCAUUUAAAAAAGUACAAAGAAACUGGUAAAAUUAAUUUUAAUAAUAGAUCUUAUUCAAUCCAAUAGCUCAAUCAUUUCAAAAUGUAAUCAAUGUAAACAUUAUUAAUGAGAUAUUUUACAUCCUUUUAAAAAUACUAAGCCUUAAAUCUGGUGUUUAUUUGACUCUUGCAGCACAUCUCAAUUUGAACUAGGGAUAUUGUAAGUGCUCAGUAGCUACACGCAGUUAGUGGCUACUAUAUUGAACAGUGCAGAUCUAGAGGACUUACUAGCAAUCAUAAAUUCAUCAUUAAAUUCAAAAGUGUCUGUGUGUUUUAUGUAAGUGUUCUGGAUUUCCUAUAUUUUCCAACUCAGGUUAGAGAACUGACUCCUCAAUGAUCCCAUGCUACACCAUUUAAAAAGUAAGUCAUAGUUAAGAAUGGGACGCUUCUUAUUUCUUUUACUUCUCUCCUGUGUCAUUUCUUUUCUCUACAACCAUAUCCUUCAAAUUCUGUUUUGCAGAGAGCCUAUCACUCUGUGUUGGGCACAGGCAACCCUAGAUCAGGGAAAAUGGAUGAGAUGCUGAGAUCCCAGGUAGAAAGCUCUCAAUAAAAAACAAGAGUCAGAAACAUUAAAACAUUUUUCCUUUCCUUGAUGGCUUCAAAUCUAUUCCCACCCCACCCCAGUAUGUCUCCCUUUCCCCAGUUCCAAUAGGAUAAAAGAUUUAAUUUUAUUUUUAACCAAUAUAUAUGUGAAAAAAAAUCUCCAUUUUCUGAUUGCUACUUAUUUUAGGGUUGUAAGCAUUAGUAAAUAAUAUAUAAUUGUUUAAAUAUUGUAAACAAUUGUUUAAAUAUUAGUAAAUAAUACAUAAUUAUUUAAAUAAAACAAUAUAUAAGUUUUUUAAAUAUAUGGCCUGGUUUUUUAAAAGAAGCAAGCAAAUAUGGCUUUUGCUGGCAUUGUUUAAAAAUGAAUAGAAUGUUCUCAGUAAACUUUUACAUUACUCCGCAACAUGUUUUGUUAGAAAAGCCUGUCGUAGUAUCUAAAAUUGUGUAAAUCAUCAGUUUUUAAUCUGGCAGGAAGUAGAUAGUGGCCCAUUAAACUUUCGUAAUUAAAUUUUCCCUGUACUCCCCCAUAGAACCAUUAUCUGAGUUUUCUAAUUAACACAAGAGGAGGGAGUCAAUUCAGGUUGAUGGGAUCUAGAGCCAUCCCCUUUCAUUUUAAUGACCUUUAAUAAACUUUUAUUACUAUUGAUAUUGAUAAUUAUAAUACACCCUUUAAUUCUGCAAUGUGAUUCUAAGGACCUUUUCAAAAAUUGCAAAAUUCACCUUUAAAGCUAGAGUAGGCAGAAUUAUUAUAUUCCUAGAGGCUGUGCAUUUAACAGAGUGACUUUAAGUUAGCCGAAGGGUGGAUAGGCAUUGAGUCAAUGGCCUUUCCUUUCCUUGAGCCUAGUGCUCAAGUGCUGGACCUCUGUCUUUACACAGCCUCCAUAUUUCACAGCACAGUUCUCGCGAGCAUGGCAGUUGGGCUGAAUUGGGAGGUGGUUUUUGAGAAAUAAUAGGUGGAGCUUACUAAAUUUGUUUUGUUUACAAUUGGAAAGGCAUUGAGACCAGGAGGCCAGAUGCCCAAGAGGAUAAGUCAUUAGGCAAGCAGGCUGGUUUCCCAGACUGUUUUCAGGAGAUCUUGCCAGAGUUUUACAUAAUUCUACAUCCUCUCAGAGCUUCCGUUCCUAUCACUGGAAUUGAUCUUUCCAGGUGAGAAAAUAAAUUUCCCAACCUGAGCACAUAAGCACUGGGAAGAACAUUUCUAUUUUUACUUUUAAUUUGCUUCAGAAAUUGGGGUACUAAGAGGAUAAGUUACCAAGGUCAUGUAUAUAGUAAACGAUGGAGCUAGAAUUUAGCUUAUGCUAUUACUCAUCAAGUUAUGCUGUCUGCAAAAUGACAAUGGGUAGGCUAUGUUGGAUUUCUUGUGCCUUGGUUAAUGAAAUAAUAAGUUGGAAAACUAUGAGCUCUACCAAACUCAGAGUGUUUAGGAGAGAAUUAAUGGAAUGGUUUCAUAAUCCCUUUAUCAAUAUAGUGGGAAAUAAAAUACUUUAUUUCAUAGAAAUGUUGUGAGGAUUAAAUGAGAUAAGAUAUAAAACAUGUUUAGCGUACUGUCUAGUUCCAUAAGUGUUACAUUUCAUUUUAUUAUAAAUAUUGUUUCCAUAGUAUCUCACCUAUUCUUUUCAAAGUUCAGAUGUUUGGUUCUUUGACAUCUCAACAUAUGAACAAAAAAGUACAUAUUAAAAAUAAAAGUCUAUAUGCUCUUAAUUAUAGAGCUGCUUAAAGAAGACAAAAAUAAAAGUCUAGGGGCUGGGCACAGGGGCUCACACCUGUAAUCCCAGCACUUUAGGAGGUUGAGGCGGGAGGAUCUCUAGAGCCCAGGAGUUCAAGACCAGCCUGGGCCACAUACUGAGACCUCAUCUCUACUAAAAAAGUUUAAAAAUUAGCCAGAUAUGGUAGCACACACCUGUAGUCCCAGCUAAUCGGGCGGCUGAGUUGGGAAGAUCGCUUGAGCACAGGAUGUCAAGGCUGCAGUGAGCUAUGAUCAUGCCACUACACUCCAGUCUGGGUGACAGAGCAAGACCCUUUCUCUAAAAAAUAAAAAUAAAUAAAUAACAUAAAUAAAUAAAUAAAUAACAAAAAUAAAUAAAAAUCUAAUACUUACCUGUCAGGGAACAAACCACGAUUCCAAAGGUGGUUUUUCCAAGGCUAAGCUCAUCCACUGCACUCCAGGUAUGCUGACCCUUGCAAUUUCCCCAAAUGCUGGAAACUUGACUGCAUGAUUUGUAGUAGUACAGCCCGUGUUCAUGUUGUCCCCUGAAAAAAAAAUUAAUUUAAAGUUUAAAAAUAUUUUAAUAAAAUAAAAUAAGUCCAGACUUACCUGAGAAGACAUAGCAAGGACCUGUUCAAGAUAACAAAUAUAGUAUAUGAUCACUGAAUUCAAAUAUGUGUAUAAUCUAGCUGUUACAGUAAUCUAAGGAUGAGGCUUGUACAACUUGCUUUUAUAUAAUAGCAGGAAAAACACAGAAGAAAGGAAAAAUCAGACAGACUUUUUCUUUUUGUUGAGACAGAAUUUCUCUC